rnacentral:rRNA from 1 species
UGAGGAAUAUUGGUCAAUGGGCGCGAGCCUGAACCAGCCAAGUAGCGUGCAGGAUGACGGCCCUAUGGGUUGUAAACUGCUUUUGUAUGGGGAUAAAGUCAAUCACGUGUGAUUGUUUGCAGGUACCAUACGAAUAAGGACCGGCUAAUUCCGUGCCAGCAGCCGCGGUAAUACGGAAGGUCCGGGCGUUAUCCGGAUUUAUUGGGUUUAAAAAAAGGAGCGUANCCGGAGAUUAAGUGUGUCGUGAAAAGUAGACGCUCAACGUCUGACUUGCAGCGCAUACUGGUUUCCUUGAGUACGCACAACGUUGGCCGGAAUUUUUUGAUUUUUCGUGUAGCAGUGAAAUGCUUAGAUAUGACGAAGAACUCCGAUUGCGAAGGCAGCUGACGAGAGCGCAACUGACGCUUAAGCUCGAAGGUGCGGGUAUCGAACAGGAUUAGAUACCCUGGUAGUCCGCACAGUAAACGAUGGAUGCCCGCUGUUGGUACCUGGUAUCAGCGGCUAAGCGAAAGCAUUAAGCAUCCCACCUGGGGAGUACGCCGGCAACGGUG